AGUCACACAGCAAGGUAACUAAUAGGCUUUCUGCUGAAAAAGCAAAGUGGGCAGAGCAAGAACCUGAGAACAGCGAGAUGUUGACUGGCCUCUGCCGGGCAUCUCUUCCGUGGGGUGUCUGGAGAUGCAGCCAUCUGAGGACAUGACUAGGCUGGAUGUCCAAGAAGGAUUACUCAUAUGGAUGGCACUUGAUGUGGGCUGUCAUCUGGGAGCUCAGUUGAGGCUGUUGACCUGACAGACAAUAUGUGGUCUCUCCAUGUAGUGUGAAUACAGCUUCUCACUGUAUGGUGAAUACAUUUGCAAAGAAAAUGCCCCCAAAGAGAGCAUUCCAAGAGGUUUAGGAAGAUGUUUCAAGACUUCUUACAACCUAGUAAUGGAAGUUCUAGAACGUCACUUCCACCAUAUUCUCUUGGUCAAGCAAGACUGGGCUGGGUUCAAAGGGAAAGGAAAUAGAUUUUACUACUGAAUGAGAUAGGGGCAUGAUUACAGUGAAGAGCUUGUAGGAUAGGAGGUAUUAGAGCAGCAAGCUUUAGAAACUACAGUCUUCCACAGGAAAAGGUGGAUGAGCUAGAUCCCCUGAAAAAGUGGGGAGGAAAACCUCGUCACUUCUAGUUCAGUUUGAUUUUGUCUGCCCCCAUCAUUUGUAGCACU